UGCAGGCGAGGGAGAAGUGGCCUUAAGCGGGAGGGGGCGGAGCUAGUAACAGCCCCCGGAGGAAGGCGGACCGAAGUCGGCGCAGAAAGACAAGGAACUGCAGAAGAGGACUGAGUUAGCAAAGAUUUCAAAGAAGAACAGCUGGUGAAGAUACCAAUGUCGGCAAGAAUACGGGGAAAGGAACAAUCUCAUGCUUGGUUGCUGGAGAAUUUUGUUAUCUGUAAAAUGGGAUUAAAAUAUGAUCUACCACACCUAGUUGUUGUAAGAAUUAAAUUAAAUGGACC